GCCUCUGUAGCUCAACUGGUAGAGCGCGACAUUUGUAAUGUCGAUGUUGGGGGUUCAAGUCCUCUCGGAGGCU
rnacentral:tRNA from 1 species